CUAGACAAUAAUAAAAUGGUUGUUUGGAUAACUGUUGACUAAACUAUAGCAUUCUGUAUAAUAGAUAAAUAAUUUGGUUUCAUGCCUCACUAAAAUGCAGGGCAUAGAAAUAUAUCUGUUUACCGUGAGUUUCCAGACUUAAUUAAGCAUAAUUCUCGCCAAAAUAAUAUAUGCUGUGCUGACCAACUCAGGAUACUUGAAAAGGAUAUUAUUCUAAAGGCCUUUUCCAUCUUGCUGUGUUUCUUUGAUCUCCCUGUCUUACUAAUUCUCAGUAGGUCGAGGAUCAAACAGUGCUAGGCCAGCUUCCACAGCUUAAGACAAGCUGUCAAGAAAAAAUCCUCUCCAUCGGGCUAAAGACUUGGUUGGUUGAAGAAACAACUUCAAGGACAAACUAGAAUAUAUAUGUACGUGAAAUAUACACAGAAAUUGUGACUGUAAGUUAAACUGUUACUGAAAAAAAUUCCAGUUUAUAUAAACCUAAUCUGAAUGUCACCUGAUAUUUCAAUAUAUAUCAAAUGCAUUUAAAUAGGUUCAACCACCAGCAGAAAUGAUUUGACUAUUAAUAUGUCAAAACAUCAGCGCUACGGAUUUUGCUAGAGCUAUAU